rnacentral:rRNA from 1 species
UACAGAGGUCUCAAGCGUUGUUCGGAUUCAUUGGGCGUAAAGGGUGCGUAGGCGGUGAAGCAAGUCUGGUGUGAAAUCCCGGAGCUCAACUCUGGAACUGCACUGGAUACUGCUUUACUUGAGCACUGGAGAGGGAACUGGAAUUUACGGUGUAGCAGUGAAGUGCGUAGAGAUCGUAAGGAAGACCAGCGGCGAAGGCGAGUUCCUGGACAGUUGCUGACGCUGAGGCACGAAGGCCAGGGGAGCAAACGGG